UACGUAGGGUGCAAGCGUUAAUCGGAAUACUGGGCGUAAAGCGUGCGCAGGCGGUUAUGUAAGACAGUUGUGAAAUCCCCGGGCUCAACCUGGGAACUGCAUCUGUGACUGCAUAGCUAGAGUACGGUAGAGGGGAUGGAAUUCCGCGUGUAGCAGUGAAAUGCGUAGAUAUGCGGAGGAACACCGAUGGCGAAGGCAAUCCCCUGGACCUGUACUGACGCUCAUGACACGAAAGCGUGGGGAGCAAACG
rnacentral:rRNA from 1 species